CCCGACUGCUAUUUGGGUAGGACUAAGCCAUGCAAGUCUAAUGGAACAGCUUUGUUCCAUGGCGCACUGCUCAGUAACAAGUGAUCAACUUACCCUUUAGUGGGGGAUAAUCUCGGGAAACUGAGGCUAAUACCCCAUAGAUGGAAUAGCCUGGAAUGGUAUUCCAUCGAAAGAUAACCCCAAUUGCGGGGUUGUUCGCUAAAGGAUAGGAUCGCUCUCGAUUAUGGUUGUUGGCGAGGUAAUGGCUCACCAAGCCUAUGAUCGAUAGGGGCCGUUAGCGCGGGAGCCCCGAGAUGGGGACUGAGACAAUGCCCCAGGCCUUACGAGGUGCAGCAGGCGCGAAACCUUUACAAUGCACGAAAGUGUGAUAAGGCUACCCAAAGUGCCAUGAAAAAGGUCAUGGCUUUUAUGAGGUAUAAAUUGCCUCAUGAAUAAGGAGAGGGCAAGGCUGGUGCCAGCCGCCGCGGUAAAACCAGCUCUUCAAGUGGUCGGGACUCUUAUUGGGCUUAAAGCGUCCGUAGCCGGUUUGGUAAGUUCCUGGUUAAAUCUAAUAGCUUAACUAUUAGUUAGCUAGGAAUACUGCCUUACUAGAGGGUGGGAAAGGUCUGAGGUACUCCAGGGGUAGCGGUGAAAUGCGAUGAUCCUUGGGGGACCACCAGUGGCGAAAGCGUCAGACUGGAACACGCCUGACGGUGAGGGACGAAAGCCAGGGGAGCGAACGGGAUUAGAUACCCCGGUAGUCCUGGCCGUAAACGAUGCGCGCUAGGUGUUGGUAUGGCUUUGAGCCAUAUCAGUGCCGUAGGGAAACUGUUAAGCGCGCCGCCUGGGAAGUACGCUCGCAAGAGUG
rnacentral:rRNA from 1 species